GUGUCAGCCGCCGCGGUAACACCGGCAGCCCAAGUGAUGGCCGAUAUUAUUGGGCCUAAAGCGUCCGUAGCUGGCCGCGUAGGUCCGUCGGGAAAUCUACUGGCCUAACCAGUAGGCGUCCGGCGGAAACCUCGUGGCUUGGGACCGGGAGACCUGAGGGGUACGUCCGGGGUAGGAGUGAAAUCCCGUAAUCCUGGACGGACCACCGGUGGCGAAAGCGCCUCAGGAGAACGGAUCCGCCAGUGAGGGACGAAAGCUAGGGUCUCGAACCGGAUUAGAUACCCGGGUAGUCCUAGCCGUAAACGAGGCUCGUUAGGUGUGGCGCAGGCUACGAGCCUGCGCUGUGCCGUAGGGAAGCCGUGAAACGAGCCGCCUGGGAAGUACGUCCGCAAGGAUGAAACUCAAAGGAAUUGACGGGG
rnacentral:rRNA from 1 species